GACGAACGCUGGCGGCGUGCUUAACACAUGCAAGUCGAACGAAGAGCGAUGGCUUCUUGCUUCUAUCAAUCUUAGUGGCGAACGGGUGAGUAACGCGUAAUCAACCUGCCCUUCAGAGGGGGACAACAGUUGGAAACGACUGCUAAUACCGCAUACGAUCUAAUCUCGGCAUCGAGGAUAGAUGAAAGGUGGCCUCUACAUGUAAGCUAUCACUGUAGGAGGGGAUUGCGUCUGAUUAGCUAGUUGGAGGGGUAACGGCCCACCAAGGCGAUGAUCAGUAGCCGGUCCGAGAGGAUGAACGGCCACAUUGGGACUGAGACACGGCCCAGACUCCUACGGGAGGCAGCAGUGGGGAAUCUUCCGCAAUGGACGAAAGGCUGACGGAGGAACGCCGCGUGAGUUAUGACGGGCUUCGGGUUGUAAAGCUCUGUUAAUCGGGGCGAAAGGCCUUCUUGCGAAUAGUGAGAAGGAUUGACGGUACCGGAAUAGAAAGCCACGGCUAACUACGUG
rnacentral:rRNA from 1 species